UGCACCAUUUAUUUGGAUAAAAAUGGUUGGUUGGCCUUUCAAAUUCAAAUGAAGUUUGAAUUUGAAUGGGGCAACCAACUCCAUGCGCCAACUUGCCUUAUCCAUCUUGUGUGCCACUUAUUAUACACGAGAAAGAGUUUCUUGUGUAAACUCUCCACGCACAAGAGAGCCCACGCCCUUCUCUUCUCAUGCCAAGAGUGGAUAAGGAUGGGUU
rnacentral:lncRNA from 1 species